CGCCCGCUUCCUUGCCCUCUCUCUCUCUCUGGCGAUUCAGAUCUGGAUCUAGGUUUUUCUUCAAGGCGAUUCAAGAUAGGGUUUGAACUCUUCGAUAAACAAAUCUCAAUGUAGUGAAUAAAGCUUUGAACUCUUCCCCACCCAACUUCAAAUCUGUAGAUGCUUGAUUUUCCUUCUAGGGUUUCUCAUACUCCACAACCCGUCGUCGCUGUUGAAGACAUAUCUUGUCCCUCUAAAAAGUGGUUGAGGUCCAUCUCAACUUUGGUCUUCUUUGCAGUCUCUCCUUUAUGAGGUAUUUCAUGUGCUACCACUACAUCCUAUCAAGUCACACCUCUUUAAUCCUAUCAAUUUACUUAGUUUUAACUUUGAGAGUUACAUACCCCGUCUUUGAAAACCUGAAACUAUUUCAAAUUGCAAACCCCCAAACAAUGGAACCUAAUACUGUUUCAAAAUUCAAACCCCAAACACCCAUAAGCUGUGCGUAUAGCAGAGAUGCUAGGGUUAGUGUAUUUUGAUAACAUAUCUACAGUAACGACAACGUUAGUGUAUUAUGGCGGAGAUUAUAGGGUUCCGAUGACGUUUCCAUUUUGAUGAAUGUCUCCAUUUUCGUAUAGAUCGAACGUCGUAGUGAUGUUUGGAAUUGUUUUGGUUGUUCUAGCUUCUCCGACAAGCUUCUGGUAACCCAACGUUUCCCCUGUAUUUCUUUUCAGGAUUUCCCAGCUUGGCUCGUGAUAUUCCUGGAAUAGCAUUCUAACUGACAAUGAACCAUUCAAGGUUGAUAACAGUGUGAAGGAAUCCACAAAUGAGGUUAAAAAUUCUGAAAAAAAAACACAUGUCAUUCAGAUUUGUUGCUCAAAAUACCAACAAGACAUGCUCAAUUAGAUGCAUCUAAAGGCGGUACCUCAUCACGUGUUGUUAAAGGUGUAAGAUUUAAAGAGAAGACUCCUCGUGACGGUGAAAGAAGUCCUCUUCUGCAUCCUGAAAGCCCUAUUGUUACAGAGAUUAAGUCUAUAUUCCACGGGAAUCGAUCUUGGUCUCUUCCGGUCAAACAAGGGUCAAACAUGUCCCCUUCGAUCACUACGCCUGUUUCAGCUAGGACAUAUAGUGAACAACAAAAAUCUCAGUGAUUUAUCAUUUAUGUGACUUUAAUACACCAAAGCCAAUAAGCCAAAAGCUCCUCAAGGUAGACUUGCAGAAGCUUACCGUUGUUGUGUUGGUGGUGAACCGCUAAAGUUUUAGAGAUGGCUCAAGCGGACAGAGUUAGAGACGUUGCGGAAAUACAACGUGAGGACCAUCUUCACUGGUUUCGUUCCUACGUGUUGUAGCCACUGCUACUAAUAUUGGAUCCAAAGAUCGUUGGGGAAAAGUACAUUCCAGAUUGGCCUAUUGCUAACAAAGAUACUGUGGUUGCACCAGAUUUGGCCAAGCUUUUUGUGUACAACCUUGGUACACCUGCUGACCAUUUGCAGUUCUAAAGCCUGGGUGACUCCGAUAUCUCGGGUCUGGUCAAGGUUAAUCAGGCCCGAUCCAAUCUCCUUACCUCAGAGCUUCAUCGAAGAUAGGUUGAGGCCGAGGUUGAAAACACGAAAUUAAGAUGUCAACUGCAGCAUAUUGGAAAGCGCAGUGCACCCCUUUGGGAUCCUACUUUGCCAUACACACAUCAAUUUGAAGAGCUAAAGAAGAGCUUGGCCAAGGCAACCGCUGAUGGGCUUGCCCGCCAGGAUGCCGAAGAAAUUUUGGCGAAGACCAAAGCUUCGCUGGAGGACAUGAUCGUGACUGUUUAAGCGCAGCGAAAGGGGUUUCAAACCAAAAUUGAUGACCUUUCUAAGUCAUACGGAAAACAAAGCAAGUUGUAUGCUGAACUGGCAGCUGGUUAUUCUAGCUGAAGAAGUUGCUGCUUCAAAUGUUACCGUCUCCGACUUAAGAAAACAGAUUUGUGAUGCUAUCCAAGCUACAAAUAGACAUAUUUUUAAUGAAACCUUUGUUGACCAGAUUUAUUUAUAUUAAAUAGCUUUAGUUAUUUGGUACCUUUUUAUAAAACAACCCGUUUUGACCUGAACCUAAUUUGGGUAAAGCGUGUUCUGGCCCGGCCCAAAAUGUCGAUGUUUUGAGCUGAUUUGUUUCGAUCGAGACCUGUCCGUUGACCCAACCUAACCCAACG